GGUGAAGAACGUAGCGAAAUGCGAAAAGUAAUGUGAAUUGCAGAAUUCAGUGAAUCAUCGAAUCUUUGAACGCACAUUGCGCCCGCUGGUACUCCGGCGGGCACGCCUGUCCGAGCGUCAUUUCAACCCUCAAGCCCUCCUUCGGGAUGGGCCUGGUGUUGGGGCUCGGCCGCCAUCUCCGGCGGCCGUCCCCUAAAUACAGUGGCGGUCACGUCGCGACUCCUUUGCGUAGUAGAAACACCUCGCUCCGGAUAGCAACGCGGUCCACGCCGUAAAAUCCCCAAUUUUCAAUGGUUGACCUCGGAUCAGGUGGGAAUACCCGCUGAACUUAAGCAUAUCAAUAAGCGGAGGA
rnacentral:misc_RNA from 1 species